rnacentral:tRNA from 1 species
UAGAAGGUGGUGUAAUGCAGCACAAGGAGCUUUGGCCUCCUAAGCUUAGGUUCAAGUCCUAGUCUUCUAU